CAGUCGCCGCGGUAAUACGAAGGGUGCAAGCGUUAAUCGGAAUUACUGGGCGUAAAGCGUGCGUAGGCGGUGAGUUAAGUCUGCUGUGAAAUCCCCGGGCUCAACCUGGGAAUGGCAGUGGAUACUGGCUCGCUAGAGUGUGUCAGAGGAUGGUGGAAUUCCCGGUGUAGCGGUGAAAUGCGUAGAGAUCGGAAGGAACAUCUGUGGCGAAGGCGACUAUCUGGGCCAACACUGACACUGAGGCACGAAAGCGUGGGGAGCAAACAGGAUUAGAUACCCCUGUAGUCCCUGUCUCUUAUAC
rnacentral:rRNA from 1 species